rnacentral:rRNA from 1 species
AUUGAACGCUGGCGGCAUGCUUUACACAUGCAAGUCGAACGGCAGCACGGGGGCAACCCUGGUGGCGAGUGGCGAACGGGUGAGUAACACAUCGGAACGUGUCCAGUUGUGGGGGAUAACCCAUCGAAAGGUGGGCUAGUACCGCAUGAGCUGGCGACAGGAAAGCAGGGGACCCGCAAGGGCCUUGUGCGAUUGGAGCGGCCGAUGUCCGAUUAGCUAGUUGGGGGGUAAAGGCCUACCAAGGCUUCGAUCGGUAGCUGGUCUGAGAGGAUGAUCAGCCACACUGGGACUGAGACACGGCCCAGACUCCUACGGGAGGCAGCAGUGGGGAAUUUUGGACAAUGGGGCAACCCUGAUCCAGCCAUGCCGCGUGAGUGAAGAAGGCCUGG